rnacentral:rRNA from 1 species
GCUUGUCUCAAAGAUUAAGCCAUGCAUGUCUCAGUACAAGCCAAACUAAGGUGAAACCGCGAAAGGCUCAUUAAAUCAGUUAUGGUUCCUUAGAUCGUACCCACAAUUACUUGGAUAACUGUGGUAAUUCUAGAGCUAAUACAUGCAAACAGAGCUCCGACCGGAGACGGAAGGAGUGCUUUUAUUAGAUCAAAACCAAUCGGUGGCGGGCCCGUCAUCGUACAACUUGGUGACUCUGAAUAACUUUACGCUGAUCGCACGGUCAUCGCACCGGCGACGCAUCUUUCAAAUGUCUGCCUUAUCAACUGUCGAUGGUAGGUUCUGCGCCUACCAUGGUUGUAACGGGUAACGGGGAAUCAGGGUUCGAUUCCGGAGAGGGAGCCUGAGAAACGGCUACCACAUCCAAGGAAGGCAGCAGGCGCGCAAAUUACCCACUCCCGGCACGGGGAGGUAGUGACGAAAAAUAACGAUACGGGACUCAUCCGAGGCCCCGUAAUCGGAAUGAGUACACUCUAAACCCUUUAACGAGGAUCAAUUGGAGGGUAAGUCUGGUGCCAGCAGCCGCGGUA